CGGACACGCGGGGACUUGCUGACUGCCACCCCCGCCCUCUUGGGCCCGCCGUGGCCCCCCAGGUACGGUCCCGGCCUGUCGGCCGGCUUCUGCGCCCUACGGAGGCCCCUGCACCCGGAGAAGCGAGGCGGAGGGAGGGGUCGCGCACGCUUUACUCCCGGAGAAGGGGGAAACUCUCGAGGAUGGGAGAUUAUCAGUGUUGGGAAAUCGUUGACAAAAGUGAUCGUUGAGGGCAUUGCCAGCCCCGUCAUCAAAGGUGGAAGAGCAGAUGUCACUGUUAAAGUAGCAAGAGACAACCUGGUCUUCACUGUAGCUUCUCAUACCUGCAUCAUUACCUUCUUGAUGUCAUCGAACUUGGUUGCUUUCUCCAGAUGUCAGGUCAGACCCAUGAUGGAUGCACUGGCGGUGGGAACUCAAAAGGCCAUGCCAGUGAACAUGCUAUUCAGCUCAGGAUGACCUUGGCCACUGCCUUGGCAGCACCAUUAGAUGCAAGGAUUAUAUUCUGGACAGCCCUGCAGCUGUCACGCUACCAUUUCCUGGAGGGGCCAUCGCUAGUCGUCUAGGUGGCAGUGAUGGCAUGGACCUGUGGUCAGUAAUCUCUCCAUGAUGCCAUAGUUGACAUGGAUGACCUGACCAGCGGAGCCAGACAGUUUCUUGUGCAAGAAGCAGGUGAGCCCCAGCCUUCUCCAAGGUCAUGAAGACACCAGUGGACUCCACAACAUUAUCAGCACCAGCAUCACCCCAUUUGAUGUUGAUGGGUCUCACUUCUGGAAGAUGGAGAAGGGCAUCCCAUUGAUGACAAGCUUCCCAAUCUCAGCCUUGGCAGUGCCUUUGAACUUGCCAUGGGUGAAAACAUACUGGAACUUACAGGCCAUGUAGUUAACGUCAAUGAAGAGGUCAUUGACAGUGACAGUCCCCAUUUUGCCAGAGUUAAAAGCAGCCCUGGUGACCAGGUACCCAAUACGGGCCAAUCUGUUUACUCCAACUGUUACCAUCAUAUCUCAGGGAUGCAGCUGUCUGUCAGAUGGAGAGGAGCAGAGUCUGGUGCUUGAGUUUUAUGACUCAGGGAUAAGAGAAGUAUAUUUGGUUUAAGAUCAUGGUGGCCUUGAGUGCCCCACUGAAAUGUCUACUUUUUUCUGUUGGGAAUGAGGAACCUUUGGAUUUUUUUUUUUUUUUUUUUUUUUUUGGAUUUUUUAAAAUAUGGAAAUGAUACUUUCAGAGCUUUUCCAUUAGGAAGAUUAUUCUACAAUGGUAUGUAAGAUAUAUACUGUUUACUUUUUUCUUUAUUAUAAAAGUUUUUUAAGUUAAUACUCAUAAAAAGUAAUAAAGCAUUAAAACAAAAUAGUCUGAAGUAACAAAUAAAUACACUGUUCUUUCAUGCCUUUUCCUUCCAGUCCUCCCUGAUUGUAGCCCUAGUCAUUUUUGGUGGGUAGCCUUCUAAAUUCAAGUACAAAAAUAUUUAAAACAUAGAUUUGUAUAUUUGUAAAAGUCUUCUGCAAAUAUUAUACUACACUUACAGUCCUGUGACUUGCUCUUUUUUUCCCUCCUGUAUAGAUAAUGCAUAUAAUUAAUAUGUCCCAAU
ensembl:lincRNA